AACCACGGAAUAGAUAAAUAAGGUUGGAAUGGUAAUGUAGGCGGGGCAAGCGUGCCACAGUUAUGAUAGAACAAACAUAACUCGACCGAUUCUUUCAUUCACCGCGUUUAGUGCGCUUCGGACUACUUGGCGAACAGAUCUCCGCUUUAUAGUGCCGUGUUGUGCAAUUAUAACUUGUAAAACAAAAAAUCAGACCUCAAGUAUAGAGCGAGGAGGUAUAUCUUUCGAUCGGUUUCCUAAAGAACCUAACGCCAGGGAACAAUGGAUUGACGUGACAGGUAGAGGAAACUGGAGACAAAGACGAGUACUAUUUGCUCUAAACAUUUUACUGAAAAUGAUUUUAUCAUAAAAAAAAUCAGAAUACACUUAGUUUUGAAAAAUUCAUUCGCAAUUAAUAGCAAGCGCCAACUGCUUAACAAAUACGUUUUAUUCCAGCGACAGUGACUAUUUGUAAUUAAUAAAAGUAAAAUAGUUUUUUUUUUCAAUAUUUA